AACUAAUUCUACUCUCUCUCAUAC
rnacentral:siRNA from 1 species